GUACACCACAACUCUUUAAGUCCUAGAACUAUACUGGAUUGUAGGCGAGCACCACCCGUGGAUGCAGAGAUUCUGCGCACCAUGAAGAAGGUGGGCUUCAUUGGCUAUGCGCCCAAUCCCCGCACCAGGCUGCGCAAUCAGAUACCCUACAGACUCAAGGAGUCAGACAGUGAAUUUGACAGCUUCAGCCAGGUCACUGAGUCACCAGUAGGACGAGAAGAGGAACCACAUCUCCACAUGGUUUCUAAGAAAUACCGCAAGGUGACCAUCAAAUAUUCCAAGCUAGGGCUGGAGGACUUUGACUUCAAACACUACAAUAAGACCUUGUUUGCUGGAUUAGAGCCCCACAUUCCCAAUGCCUACUGUAACUGCAUGAUCCAGGUGCUCUAUUUCCUGGAGCCUGUACGCUGUCUAAUUCAAAACCACCUUUGCCAGAAGGAGUUCUGUCUGGCAUGUGAGCUGGGCUUCCUGUUUCACAUGUUGGACCUCUCUCGUGGUGACCCUUGCCAGGGCAAUAAUUUUCUUCGGGCAUUCCGUACCAUUCCUGAGGCCUCAGCCCUCGGUCUAAUCCUGGCUGACUCAGAUGA
rnacentral:sRNA from 1 species